UACGGAGGGUGCAAGCGUUAUCCGGAUUCACUGGGUUUAAAGGGUGCGUAGGUGGGCAGGUAAGUCAGUGGUGAAAUCUCCGGGCUUAACCCGGAAACUGCCAUUGAUACUAUCUGUCUUGAAUACCGUGGAGGUGAGCGGAAUAUGUCAUGUAGCGGUGAAAUGCUUAGAGAUGACAUAGAACACCUAUUGCGAAGGCAGCUUACUACGCCUAUAUUGACGCUGAGGCACGAAAGCGUGGGGAUCAAACAGA
rnacentral:rRNA from 1 species